CACGUAGGGUGCGAGCGUUGUCCGGAAUUAUUGGGCGUAAAGAGCUCGUAGGCGGUGUGUCGCGUCGGCCGUGAAAACCUGCAGCUUAACUGUGGGCUUGCGGUCGAUACGGGCAUCACUGGAGUUCGGCAGGGGAGACUGGAAUUCCUGGUGUAGCGGUGAAAUGCGCAGAUAUCAGGAGGAACACCGGUGGCGAAGGCGGGUCUCUGGGCCGAUACUGACGCUGAGGAGCGAAAGCGCGGGGAGCGAACAGG
rnacentral:rRNA from 1 species